GUAAACACUACGAAUAGAAAAGUAGAAUUAGUUCAGCUAAAAAGCGAGCCUGAGAUAGUGAAAGCAGGUAUAGCAUGGAAUUAAUUUGAAAGUAGUCUAUGAGUGGCUAAGGCGACAGAUAAUGAAGUUUUAGCAGGGAGUGCCCGUUAUAGCACCAGCGUAUCUGAAAUAAUCACGUACGCGUAAGGCAUUAUUAGUGAUAAUAAUGUAAACAAAAGGUGGUAACACGCUCAUAAAGCGUCCUUUAA
rnacentral:ncRNA from 1 species